UAUCUAGAGUAGGGCUACUAUACUUUUAUGAGUAUUGGGCCUUUCGUACUCAUAAGUUGUUUUUGAUGAUAGGGCUUCCGAAUCGAGGAUCCAUUCCGUUAAAUAUGAUCUAGAGUAUUUGAAACUUCUAAAAAAUAAAUUUCGUAAUUUUUCGAAAUCAUAAUAAAGUCCAUCAAGUAGGUAAAAAAUGAACGGUCGAAAUUAAACGACUUUCUAAAAAUGGAUGAUCGGAUCUUUCAAUUUAAGAUCGGAGUUAUUGAUCUUUAUCUAUGUAGUGAAUAGAAUUUUUUAUUAAAAAUUCAACCGAUUCUGUAGUAACCCUGGAAUUUAACA
rnacentral:lncRNA from 1 species